AUUUACAAGAGAUUUUAAA
rnacentral:sRNA from 1 species